GGACUCGUGGCUCAGCAAAAGAGCGCCUGUUUGGCAUGCAGGAGGUCCCGGGGUUCAAUCCCUGGCAUUUCCA
rnacentral:tRNA from 1 species